rnacentral:rRNA from 1 species
UACGAAGGGGGCUAGCGUUGCUCGGAAUCACUGGGCGUAAAGCGCACGUAGGCGGAUUGUUAAGUCAGGGGUGAAAUCCUGGAGCUCAACUCCAGAACUGCCUUUGAUACUGGCGAGCUUGAGUCCGGGAGAGGUGAGUGGAACUGCGAGUGUAGAGGUGAAAUUCGUAGAUAUUCGCAAGAACACCAGUGGCGAAGGCGGCUCACUGGCCCGGUACCGACGCUGAGGUGCGAAAGCGUGGGGAGCAAACAGG